UGUAACAACUCACCUGCCGAAGCAACUAGCCCUUAAAAUGGAUGGCGCUUAAGUUGUAUACCUAUACAUUACCGCUAAAGUAGAUGAUUUAUAUUACUUGUGAUAUAAAUUUUGAAACUUUAGUGAGUAGGAAGGUACAAUGGUAUGCGUAGAAGUGUUUGGCGUAAGCCUGCAUGGAGCUGCCAUUGGUACAGAUCUUGGUGGUAGUAGCAAAUAAUCGAAUGAGACCUUGGAGGACUGAAGUGGAGAAGGGUUUCGUGUGAACAGUGGUUGAUCACGAGUUAGUCGGUCCUAAGUUCAAGGCGAAAGCCGAAAAUUUUCAAGUAAAACAAAAAUGCCUAACUAUAUAAACAAAGCGAAUUAUAAUACACUUGAAUAAUUUUGAACGAAAGGGAAUACGGUUCCAAUUCCGUAACCUGUUGAGUAUCCGUUUGUUAUUAAAUAUGGGCCUCGUGCUCAUCCUGGCAACAGGAACGACCAUAAAGAAGCCGUCGAGAGAUAUCGGAAGAGUUUUCUUUUCUGUUUUAUAGCCGUACUACCAUGGAAGUCUUUCGCAGAGAGAUAUGGUAGAUGGGCUAGAAGAGCAUGACAUAUACUGUUGUGUCGAUAUUUUCUCCUCGGACCUUGAAAAUUUAUGGUGGGGACACGCAAACUUCUCAACAGGCCGUACCAAUAUCCGCAGCUGGUCUCCAAGGUGAAGAGUCUCUAGUCGAUAGAAUAAUGUAGGUAAGGGAAGUCGGCAAAUUAGAUCCGUAACUUCGGGAUAAGGAUUGGCUCUGAAGAUUGAGAUAGUCGGGCUUGAUUGGGAAACAAUAACAUGGUUUAUGUGCUCGUUCUGGGUAAAUAGAGUUUCUAGCAUUUAUGUUAGUUACUUGUUCCCCGGAUAGUUUAGUUACGUAGCCAAUUGUGGAACUUUCUUGCUAAAAUUUUUAAGAAUACUAUUUGGGUUAAACCAAUUAGUUCUUAUUAAUUAUAACGAUUAUCAAUUAACAAUCAAUUCAGAACUGGCACGGACUUGGGGAAUCCGACUGUCUAAUUAAAACAAAGCAUUGUGAUGGCCCUAGCGGGUGUUGACACAAUGUGAUUUCUGCCCAGUGCUCUGAAUGUCAAAGUGAAGAAAUUCAAGUAAGCGCGGGUCAACGGCGGGAGUAACUAUGACUCUCUUAAGGUAGCCAAAUGCCUCGUCAUCUAAUUAGUGACGCGCAUGAAUGGAUUAACGAGAUUCCUACUGUCCCUAUCUACUAUCUAGCGAAACCACAGCCAAGGGAACGGGCUUGGAAUAAUUAGCGGGGAAAGAAGACCCUUUUGAGCUUGACUCUAAUCUGGCAGUGUAAGGAGACAUAAGAGGUGUAGAAUAAGUGGGAGAUAUUAGACCUCGGUUUGGUAUCGUCAAUGAAAUACCACUACUCUUAUUGUUUCCUUACUUACUUGAUUAAAUGGAACGUGUAUCAUUUCCUAGCCAUUAUACGGAUAUAUUUAUUAUAUCUUAUGGUAUUGGGUUUUGAUGCAAGCUUCUUGAUCAAAGUAUCACGAGUUUGUUAUAUAAUCGCAAACAAAUUCUUUAAUAAAACGAUGCAUUUAUGUAUUUUUGAUUUGAAAAUUUGGUAUAACUCCAAUUACUCAGGUAUGAUCCAAUUCAAGGACAUUGCCAGGUAGGGAGUUUGACUGGGGCGGUACAUCUCUCAAAUAAUAACGGAGGUGUCCCAAGGCCAGCUCAGUGCGGACAGAAACCACACAUAGAGCAAAAGGGCAAAUGCUGACUUGAUCUCGGUGUUCAGUACACACAGGGACAGCAAAAGCUCGGCCUAUCGAUCCUUUUGGUUUAAAGAGUUUUUAACAAGAGGUGUCAGAAAAGUUACCAUAGGGAUAACUGGCUUGUGGCGGCCAAGCGUUCAUAGCGACGUCGCUUUUUGAUCCUUCGAUGUCGGCUCUUCCUAUCAUUGUGAAGCAAAAUUCACCAAGCGUUGGAUUGUUCACCCAUGCAAGGGAACGUGAGCUGGGUUUAGACCGUCGUGAGACAGGUUAGUUUUACCCUACUAAUGACAAAACGUUGUUGCGACAGCAUUCCUGCGUAGUACGAGAGGAACCGCAGGUACGGACCAAUGGCACAAUACUUGUUCGAGCGAACAGUGGUAUGACGCUACGUCCGUUGGAUUAUGCCUGAACGCCUCUAAGGUCGUAUCCGUGCUGGACUGCAAUGAUAAAUAAGGGGCAAUUUGCAUUGU
rnacentral:rRNA from 1 species